AGAGUUUGAUCAUGGCUCAGGAUGAACGCUAGCGGCAGGCCUAAUACAUGCAAGUCGAACGGGGCAGCAAUGCUCAGUGGCGCACGGGUGCGUAACGCGUAUGCAACCUACCUUUCAGUGGGGGAUAGCCCGGGGAAACCCGGAUUAAUACCGCAUAAUAUAAUUUGAUGGCAUCAUUAGAUUAUUAAACAUUUAUGGCUGAAAGAUGGGCAUGCGUUAGAUUAGCUAGUUGGUGAGGUAGCAGCUCACCAAGACGAUGAUCUAUAGGGGUUCUGAGAGGAAGAUCCCCCACACUGGUACUGAGAUACGGACCAGACUCCUACGGGAGGCAGCAGUAGGGAAUAUUGGGCAAUGCUCGCAAGAGUGACCCAGCCAUGCCGCGUGCAGGAAGAAGGCCUUCUGGGUUGUAAACUGCUUUUGGAAGGGAACAAAACGGGCAUGCGUGCCAACUUGAGUGUACCUUCAGAAUAAGCACCGGCUAACUCCGUGCCAGCAGCCGCGGUAAUACGGAGGGUGCAAGCGUUGUCCGGAUUUAUUGGGUUUAAAGGGUGCGUAGGCGGCUUAUUAAGUCAGGGGUGAAAGACUGCAGCUCAACUGUAGCAGUGCCUUUGAUACUGAUGAGCUUGAGUACAGAUGAGGCUGGCGGAAUGGGUGGUGUAGCGGUGAAAUGCAUAGAUACCAUCCAGAACACCGAUUGCGAAGGCAGCCGGCUAAACUGUAACUGACGCUGAGGCACGAAAGCGUGGGGAUCGAACAGGAUUAGAUACCCUAGUAGUCC
rnacentral:rRNA from 1 species